GACGAACGCUGGCGGCGUGCUUAACACAUGCAAGUCGAACGGAAAGGCCCUGCUUUUGUGGGGUGCUCGAGUGGCGAACGGGUGAGUAACACGUGAGUAACCUGCCCUUGACUUUGGGAUAACUUCAGGAAGCUGGGGCUAAUACCGGAUAGCAGCACCUGCUGCAUGGUGGGGGUUGGAAAGUUUCGGCGGUUGGGGUAGGACUCGCGGCUUAUCAGCAUGUUGGUGGGGUAGUGGCUUACCAAGGCGUUGACGGGUAGCCGGCCUGAGAGGGUGACAGGCCACAGAGGGACUGGGAUGCGGCCAAGACGCCUACGGGAGGCAGGAGUGGGGAAUAUUGCGCAAUGGGCGGAAGCCGGGUGCAGCAACGCCGCGUGCUGGAGGACUGCCGUCGGGUUGGAAACCGCUUGCGCCUGGGACGAAGCGUGAGUGACGGUAAUGGGUAAAGAAGAACCGGCUAACUACGUG
rnacentral:rRNA from 1 species